ACACACAAAGGAGAUCUCUCAUUCUUAUUCCAGAAAAAGCUAAAGAACGAGCAGCCAUCUCCCUUGAAGAAAAAGGGCUCUCACUUUCAUUUCCAAAAGAAGCUAACGCCAACUCUCCAUCUCAAGAAAGAAAGGUCAGCAACACCCUACCAUAACACUUCAUCAUCCUCACCAAAGCCUCACUGCUUUUGGCCAUAGAAAACAGUUUCAAAAUAGCCAUUGAAACCACUCCAAAAUCAGCUGAUAAACAUCACAAGAUCCAUCGUCGAACAAGGUCCGUUUGAGCUUUUGUCGAGUCCCUGUUGCCGGCGUCGAGGUCCCAAUUCUUGUUCUGUGUUCACGUUACUGUUUUGGUUUGGGGAAGGUCAAGUUCGGUCCCUAGCUCGAUUGAAGAUCGUUGUUGUAGUAUUUCCGUUCCUCUGUAAUUGUUUGCAAUUUUGAAUUGACAAUGACUAUGAAAAGUAGAAAGCUACAGGUACUUGCACUUCUGCUGCCUUUUUCUUUUGCUCAUAGUGUCCUUUGAAUAUUAUAACAUAGUACUCUAUAGCCCAAUACCUAAGCUAUUAGCAUUACAUUACUCUUUAGCAUGUUAAAUUGUGCCUUCCUUCAUUUCUUGUUAAUACUGAUUUGUUAGGUGAAGAGAUUUGAAGAGCAUUUGUUCUAAUAACUGUUAAGUUUCUUUUUUAAACAUUUUAUUCUAAUGAUUUUAAUUUUUUUAUAAUUCAUGACCUUGCAACCAUCUCAAAUUAAUUUUAGGAUGAAUAAUUCAUAAAUCUUGUAGUUUGCUUUAGGCGCGAUUAAUAAAUCAUCGUGACUAUGGGUAUGGUUACCGUGGCAUGAUUACGAUACGUAAAUUCUAAUUUGGGUGUGCAUUUCAUGUGACCCAACCAUAACUUCAAACAUUAAUAAAAUAAACAUGUUGUAGAUCGCGAGUGCAUUUCAUGUGACGCCGUUUGCAAUGUGUACCAAAAUGACAAGUGUAUGAUAAUCGUGACUUUUUCUAGAAAUAAUUUCAUAAAUAAAUAAAAGUGGUAAUGGAGUUAAAAAUACACGACAAGGUUUUUAAACAUGUGAUUAAUCAGAUAAUUAUGCCUAUUAUUAAUAGUUGAGCAAUCAUGCUAAAACCACAGAACUCGGGAAUGUCUAACACCUUCUCUCGGAUUAACAGAAUUCCUUACCCAGAUUUUUGUGAUUCGCGGACUGUAAAACAGAGUCAAACUUCCUCUAUUCGGGAUUUUAAACCGGUGACUUGGGACACCAUAAAUUAUCCCAAGUGGUGACUCUAAAUUUGAAUAUAAAUAAUUCUGUUUCGAUUAUUGUCACUUUAAUUGGAAAAAGUCCCUAUCCCCUUCGGGAAAAAAGAGGUGUGACAACAUCUGCUGUUGUUUUUUGUUUUUAGAGGUACAUUUGAAGUUUUUCCUUUUUUUGUGUUUGUCAUUCAUCUUUUUGAGGUGUUGUGUCAUUACUUUGGUGUUGCUUUUCUUUUUGGUGUUCUGCAGCCUUUGUGUUGUCAAUUUGGUCUUCUCUCCCUUUCUUUGCUUUUUCCUGCUAUCUAUUAUUUUGGUGUUGUUUGCUUGUUUCUGCAUUUUUUGUGAUCUUUUACUGAUUAUUGGACUGUGAGAAUGUUGGUGCAGUUGCUUCUUCCUCCUUUCUCUUCCGAGCUUCAAAUUCUCUGAUCUUAAUUAGGCAUGCCUGAAGAUAGUGGCCCAGGUGUCUGUAGUGAGUAUAGUAGGAAGGAAUGUUAUCAUAUUGGACUUCAAGCCAUUGGCCAUCUCUAUUAACAUCUUGAUCCUCAUCAUAGCCUAACCAGACAUGGGUUGGCCUAUCCUUGGUGAGAUCAACCUACAUUUUUACCUUGACCACACUACCUCUAGAUUUUUGAAAAGAGGCAAGAUCCAAGAAAAGGACUUUCCCAAUUGGAGAUAACAAUGGAGUGAGUAUCUCCAUAUAAUAUAGGUGCCAAGGAAAUUUAGGGAUCAUGAUCUAGAUAGGAACAAUGUGGGAAUCUUCAUUUGGCUUGAAGAUAGGAUUCCAUGCUUCUAUUCUCGUCAAUUGACCCUGAAUGUACAUGUGUUGUUUGGACCAGACAAUAGAAUGAUCAUACUUAUUGUCAAGAUCAAUGUAAACUGUCUUUCCAUUGAAGUGGGCAAUUUUAACCCCCACCUCUUAGCAAUAAAGCUCCUUCUGAUGGUUUCCAUCUUUGGCAUUGUGUGUUGGAACUUACCAACAACUGUGAACUUACAUCUAUCAACAAAUUUGACCAUGUACUCCUCUCUUUUAAAGAUCACAUCAGCUUUACCUUUCUUGGUAGUGAUGACAGGAGAUGUAAUAUUGCAGGGGUGCAAUCUCAGCCUCAUGCUUGGCCCUCAAUCUAGUGACAUAAAAUUGGGUGACUGUUGGAGGUGGAGGGGGGAUGGAUUUUUUGGUGAUUUGGCUUUUGUGGAGUUAGUGAUUACUUGAGGGUUAUUAUUUGGAGCUGGUAUAGCCUGAAUGUUGGAUUGUAUCUAAGGUUGUACAGAAUUAACUAGGGUCUUAACAGAAGAAUUUUGAUUUUUCUUUGAAGUGUGUGGUCGAUCAAAGGUUGAUCAAAUUUUAAUAGGGAUUGCAGAGUAGGGGCAAUGGGUACCUGGGAUUGAUUCUGAGCAGCAGGAGUGUCUCUGCCAUUGUUGGCAGCCACCCGGGCUUCUAAUAGAAUUAAAGAACUGGGCGUAUCAUUAUUUUGGAUUGUUCCUGAUGCAAUUCUCAUACAAGGAGCUUCCUGAACACUUGUAGGAGCUUGAGGGAUUGCUUGCUCAUUAGUUUGAGCCACUUGGACUGUUGGUCCACCAUUGAUGACCACCUGCAUUUCUGAUGAAGAAGGCGAGACCUAAUCACCACUUUUUUGGAUUGAUUCUUGAAACGUUGAUUGAUGAUUAGGUUCCUUAUGAGCUUGAUAGGAUUGAGGAAUAACACAUUCCCUAAAUUGAUCAGUGGAAGUGGCUUGGGCAUUAUGUCGAGCACCUGAUGUGCUCAGCUAUGUAGAAGCUCCUUUUUGAAGAUUCGAGGAAUUUGGCUCAAUGGAUUGACGUUGUGGCAGCUUAGAAAUGUUCUCCACACCUGCAGAAACCAUUUUGCAUUGGUUUCUCCCACCUAUAGCUUCUUCUCCGGCCAACCUAUGCUCGCCGGAGAGUUGCAUGUGAACGGAGCUCUCAACUCCUACAGUGGAAUGCUCUGAAAAUUGGUAGUUAGACGUUUCUUGAGAUGGUGAACAAUCUCCACGGUUUAAAAUUCCACAAUUUUGCCCAGAUUUUAAUUGGGAAAUGUCAGAGGCUCCUAGGCAAUUUUUUGCUACAAGGAUUACACCACCAUUUGUAAGAUCUGUAGCAGUUGGGAAGAGUUGAGGGGGGCACCCACGUGUGGUUUGUGAGCAAAGUUAAGGCGCGUCUUUUGGGACUGGUCCGGUAGUUUUUCACCAUCAGAUGACGGAGUUAUGGUCAUUCUGGCGUGGCAGCAUCACUGUUCACGCGAAUCGCCUGUACAGAGAGAGAAUCGAAUUUUUGCGAUGGUGGGCUUUUUUAAUUAAUGGAUUCCAACAACAAUUAAACUUGAUUUAUGAUUUUAAAGAUAUGUGAUUUAGUUCAAUACCAAUUAAUAACCAAGAAAUCUGAAGUAUAAAUAAAGAAAAUAAGUGAAAUCAAACCAGUGUGCAAGCCAAUCUCGACCUCGAGUUAAGGUGGCCUCGAGGUGGAUCAAGAACAGUAAAGUAAGAAGAAUAAAGUUUAAAGGACAAUUCUGAUGAGCAAUGAGCCAGAAAGCGAGAGAGUAUGUUCUUUUGCCAAUGAUUGAUGAUGGUUACAAAUGAUUGGGGUCCCCUUUAUAUAAUAGGGGAACCCGAAGUAAGUUACAUUUCUAUUUACAAUAAAGAAUCUUAUUGGGAUAGCUGUAUAACCGACUAGUACGGAUUCGUACAAAUCUAUUCCGAAAUUUAUGCCACGAUCUUGUGGACGUAGCAGGAAUCUUGCUCAUUCUGUUACAAAUCCAAAACGGCAUUACCUUGAGGCCGGUCAAGUUUGGCCUCGACAUUCAUCGGUAACUUUGAUCUUCGAAAUUUGAACUCUGCCCUUAGCCUCGAACCUAGUGUACUUUGGACUUACUCUUGAAGUGGUUCCUCUAGCGCCCUAAAUCGAGCAUACUUGAUUUUGACCGUAUACAGAGUCGACUGAAAUCAGCUUCAGUCGACUAAAUUGUAAAUUUAGUACAAUACAAUCCUCACCUCUUGCGUUUCAUUACCUGUAUAUAAAAUUAUAAGCGACUAUGCAAGCGAUCAUGUGUAAGACGAUAAAAAAUUGCUUAUUUAGUUCGGGAUUAAGUAAUUAGGAUCCUCAAUUCUUGGAUCCUAAUUGUAAUAUAUAAUGUCCAGUUUUUCAUUUGGUCACUGAUGGAAGAGUUGCUACUUCUUCCUUGGUCCCCAUUUCUAAUGGUCGGUGAGUGUACUAAUUCAAUCGUACAAAGCCAGCCGGAAGAAUGUUUCUUAUUAUAGUUGAUGCUCUAGAAUUUCUUUAUGCUCUCAGAGGUUGUGAUUUAGCUGCAAGUGCAACAACCAAAUUAAACAAGGGCUUAUUUAGAGGAUUCUACUGAAGCAUGGCUCACUCUAAACAAGUAUGCCCUAGAAAUUCCUGCUAUGAUACUCAUAAAAGUGUUAGCAGGAGUAAUUAUAUUUGCUGUGUUUCUUUACUUCGAGGAAAAGAAUAUAAAUUUGCUAAUUUAGUGUUUCAAUUUCCUUGUGAAAGUGGGUUACAAGCAAGUUGCGGUUAUUUCCCUCUCAAUUGGUAGCUAGUAUCCAUAAUGUAGGUUUUCCAUGUUGGAAAGUUUAGUUUAAGAAAAAGAAUUUGUGAGAUGCAAGUAUUAGUGAUGAAAAAAAAAGAUGCAACUAUUAGCCUACCAUUUAUGAAAAUCUUUUCCAAAAGUAAAUUUUGUGAGGUAUUAUUUUCUUUAGAUAUUCUUUUGAGUUUAUUUGAACAUUAACACUAUUUUGUACUAUACUGGUUCUUAUUUAGCGGGUUGCUUAUCUUCUCUCAUGAAUACUGGUCUAAUUAGUCGAACCACCUAAAUUUUUAUUUCAAUUUGAUGUAUUUCUAUGUUGUCACUUGAGUUAUCAACAUAUAUUUAAUCCAAACAAGUUUGUAUGAUUAGCGUGAGUUGUAUCCCGGGUUCAUGAAUUUGAA
rnacentral:lncRNA from 1 species